CCUACGGGCGGCAGCAGUGGGGAAUAUUGCGCAAUGGGCGAAAGCCUGACGCAGCGACGCCGCGUGAGGGAUGAAGGUCUUCGGAUCGUAAACCUCUGUCAGCAGGGAAGAACGGUCACUGUGCUAAUCAGCAGUGCAUUGACGGUACCUGCAAAGGAAGCACCGGCUAACUCCGUGCCAGCACCCGCGGUAAUACGGGGGGUGCGAGCGUUAAUCGGAAUUACUGGGCGUAAAGCGCUCGUAGGCGGUAUGUCAAGUCAAGGGUGAAAUCCCCGGGCUCAACGUGGGAACUGCCUUUGAAACUGGCAAACUGGAGUGUGUGAGAGGAUAGUGGAAUUCCAGGUGUAGGAGUGAAAUCCGUAGAUAUCUGGAGGAACAUCAGUGGCGAAGGCGACUAUCUGGCACAUAACUGACGCUGAGGAGCGAAAGCGUGGGUAGCAAACAGGAUUAGAUACCCCAGUAGUC
rnacentral:rRNA from 1 species